GAGUUUGAUCCUGGCUCAGAGUGAACGCUGGCGGUAGGCCUAACACAUGCAAGUCGAACGGCAGCACGAGAGAGCUUGCUCUCUUGGUGGCGAGUGGCGGACGGGUGAGGAAUACAUCGGAAUCUACCCUGUCGUGGGGGAUAACCUCGGGAAACCGGGACUAAUACCGCAUACGACCUUCGGUGAAAGUAGGGAUCGCAAGACCUUACGCGAUUGGAUGAGCCGAUGUCGGAUUAGCUUGUUGGCGGGGUAAAAGCCCACCAAGGCGACGAUCCGUAGCUGGUCUGAGAGGAUGAUCAGCCACACUGGGACUGAGACACGGCCCAGACUCCUACGGGAGGCAGCAGUGGGGAAUAUUGGACAAUGGGCGCAAGCCUGAUCCAGCCAUACCGCGUGAGUGAAGAAGGCCUUCGGUUGUAA
rnacentral:rRNA from 1 species